CACACACACACACACACACACGGUAGGUCUACAUUCACACACACACACACACACACACACACACACACACACGGUAGGUCUACAUUCACACACACACACACACACACACACACACACACACACACACACACACACACACACACACACACACACACACACACACACACGGUAGGUCUACAUUCACACACACACACACGGUAGGUCUACAUUCACACACACACACACACACACAUUCGGUAGGUCUACAUUCACACACACACACACACACACACACACACACACACACACACACACACACACACGGUAGGUCUACAUUCACAAAAACACACAAUAACAAGUAUUAUAGAAAACAACUCACAUGUUUUGUCUAGAUAAAAUUUUGAAUAAUUCUUAUGACAGAUUUAGCUAUUUAAACGAUUUAGCUCAUCUUAUGUUUGAAGCGCUGAUUAGCGGAAGUUUUAGGCCUUCUGAAGUUUUAGGUCUUCUGAAGUUUUAGGUCUUCUUGAUCAUGUUGAAUGUAGUCUUAUCUAGCAAAUACUUGGGGGUUGAGCUCCAACAUUGAGAGAGAGACAUAAUGAUAUAUAAGCAGCAUGAACUACAUGUUGUACUCUUCAGCUCUUAUAGAUGGCAUUUAAAGUGGAACUGACAGCAUUUUAGCAACAUGAAAUCUAAUUCAAAUCAGUUCAUAUACGCCACCAGGAAGAAUGUGACGCUUUAAAAAAAGAUACAAAUCUAUCAAGCGAACGCUUAGAUAUGAUCAUUUUCAUGUUUUCAUAAAUUCUUAAAAUGUUUGGUAAUUACAUACAGUAAGGCAUUUGUAAAAAAAAAAAUCUAUAGCAAUAUAGAGAGUUGAAAACGGUUUGAACAAUUCAUAGACACUGCAGUAAAUAAAACCUAAUUAAAACAUCUGUAGAACAAAAAGCCACAAAAUACACCUGAAUGGAUUUCUACAAAUAUGUCAAUACCACAGGAGUCCUCUUACAUUUGGGAACUUUACAGUCCUAAUGAUCAAACAACCAUAAAAAGGCAGGCUCUCUUUCCCUAUAUGCACAUCAACAACAAGAUCAAUAGCUAAUGCCAGCCAGUGCAAGGUCAGCUACAAUCUAACGAAGGAACAUUAGAUAAACCCUCUCAAGCUUUUUCAACUAGUUGACCGUCAAAAUUGCACUGAGAAACGAUGGGGAAUAGUAAGUAGCCUGCUCGUCCUUCUGCAGCUUGCCUGCCAGUGCAUUCUUGUCCCAACUAAGCACCCAAGCUAACUGGCUAAAGUGGGCUAGCUAGCUACAUCCAGAGACAAAUGAGAGAACACCUUACUCUGACCAUUUGUACUCGCCCUAGCAGAGCUGGUUGCUAGGCUGUUUGUUUACAUGAUAUCUGGAGCGUUCGUAACUAAGUAUUACUUUUUUUGCCCAUGUUUACUGACACUGCAUAUAUUCAGCCGGUGUUGUGCGUUCAUAAAUGAAUCAGCUAUUCUGUGCUCUGGCACACUCAGACAAGAGGGCUCUGAAAUCAGAGGAGAUAGCCAGAGUGAAUUAGCGAACGACAGAGAUAUGCUAACUGGAUAAUACGUCGCUCAAGUUCAGGAUAGCUAGCUAGCAAAGCGAUUCACAUUCUUGCUAGCUAACUAAAUGACACCUGCAUCUCUAGCUGUGUAGCCACCGAAAACAAUAUGAGGGGCAAAGGUCACUCUUACUCACCCGCUCCUCCAAUGACAUGACAUCCUCCUAGCAGCUAGCUAGCGUUAGGCUCUGUGUUUUUUAGCUUGCUACAUCAAUAGAUACGCUAGCCUAUUAGCCACGUUAUGACUGACUUGUGAUCAUUGCCGUUGCGAGUGUGAUUGUAUUGACAUUCCCGGUUAGUUAGUUAGUUACAAUCAUCCGUUUUUGAAACUGAAGGCAGCAAACAAUGUACCAAGAAAUGCAUUAGUGAAUUAUAUUAAUCGUGCAUUGAAAUGCAUCCAUCUAUUCUGCCAACGAUGCCUUAGUGUACGUCAUGGAACGCUGAGUCAAAUAGAACCUAUUUUUAAAACCUCUUAUCAAGUUGGUUUUGUAGCAUAAACUGGGAAUUUGAUAUUUUUGACUGAUAUUAUGAUUCUGUUUGUUUCAUAUCUACAAAGUAGUUCAAACGCUGUCAGUUCCACUUUAGCUUAAUUUAGCUUCUGAUGAAAGUUGAAUGUGUAGUACUGAGCUGUAAAUGGCUGUAUAUAUGUACAUACGGCUGUGUAAAUGGCUGUAUACUGUAUAUGUACAUAGGGCUGUGAAUAGACAAGGUGAAUUGCCCUGUUUUUAUUGAAGCUCUUAGAUGUGUACAGAGGAUGGUCGUGACCUGGAAAGGAAAGGGACAAGGUCAGAGUCAGGGUCAGAGUCAGGGACAGGGUCAGAGUCAGGGACAGGGAAAGGGACAGGGUCAGGGACAGGGUCAGAGUCAGGGACAGGGUCAGAGUCAGGGACAGAGUCAGGGACAGGGUCAGAGUCAGGGACAGGGUCAGAGUCAGGGACAGGGUCAGAGACAGGGUCAGAGUCAGGGACAGGGUCAGAGUCAGGGACAGGGUCAGAGUCAGGGACAGGGUCAGAGUCAGGGACAGGGUCAGAGUCAGGGACAGGGAAAGGGUCAGGGACAGUGUCAGGAUGUGGGUUUGCCAGUAAUUUUCAGUGCCUCUUUUGACACACUUAAAUCAGUCCCAGACAUUUUGGGGGAGGUGUGCUUUGUCCUGUGACUUCCUCUCUCCUGGCGUGUCACAUAUCUAGGAUCAGUUGACCCUCCCAGCUACACUGACCAUUGAUCAGUGGCAUCCUACUCCAUGUGGCAUUUAUCUCAAACCAUGACCUCCCUUCCUGCCUUGUGACGAUUGCCUAGCAACAGACAAAGGCUAAGUUAGUAGAAUAAUCAACUCGGCUCUUUUGCCCGCACAGAUAAAGCACUACAGAUACACUAUUCAGAGUUUUCAUUCAAGUGUUGUUACUUAUUGUUACACACACACACCUGCACACACACACACACACACACACACACACACACACAUAAACACACACGUUCCUGCUCCUCCAAGGAGAUCAUGCAGACAGACCCUAUCAUCUCUGGGUCGUCUGGGUAAAUGCUGUAUUCACAGUCCUCCUAAAGGGAACUAACUACAUUACCACAGGAAUACAAAAUCAUGACUGACCAUCUCAAUCUUAUUCCUUCAGCUGCAUUUCAAGUGUUUUCUACUUCUGUUUUAUUUAGUUAUUUAAAUAUAUCUUUUUGAUUAGUGUCUGACAUAGCUGCUUGACCGUGGAAACACAGUUUGGGUUUUGCAGUUUACAUUUUAUAAAGGGUGGAUAAUAAUGAUGAUUAUGAUUCAUUUGAACUAUUAUUUUAUAUUCUGUACGUUGCUGUUUUUGCGGUUCAGAACCAGAAUCUGGAUUUGAUUCUUUUUAUUGGUUGAACAUGUCCAUGUUUUAUCUGUUCUGUUUCAUUAUGACACGUUAUAAACUGUUGCAGAAAGGAAAACAACUCGUCUUCUCUACGUUGUAGAUUGUAUUUAUUAUGAUAAUUACAUUUUUCUGUAUGAUAUUUUUACUCUUGAAAUA
ensembl:lncRNA